UACGUAGGGGGCAAGCGUUGUCCGGAUUUAUUGGGCGUAAAGAGCGUGUAGGCGGCCAUGUAGGUCCGUUGUGAAAACUCGAGGCUCAACCUCGAGACGCCGAUGGAAACCAUCUGGCUAGAGUCCGGAAGAGGAGAGUGGAAUUCCUGGUGUAGCGGUGAAAUGCGCAGAUAUCAGGAAGAACACCCGUGGCGAAGGCGGCUCUCUGGGACGGUACUGACGCUGAGACGCGAAAGCGUGGGGAGCGAACCGG
rnacentral:rRNA from 1 species